CGUCGGCGGGGACCUGCAGCUGCUCCGGCUCCGCGACCUGGCUCCCCAGGGGCUCCAUUGGGAACUCGGCCUGGUCUCCUUCCGAUGCCGCCUGGGCCCGCUUCAUCACCGACAGACGAAGAGCGGAGCGCACCUGGGCCCAGAGACUCCUCACACUCCAUUAGGUCACUGACUCUCCAGCUCUCCCUCCAGCCCAGAUCUUUCUCCGGACCUUGACCCCACAGGCAGCCACUGCAAACAAGUCACCGUCCAGGCGGCUGCCCGCCCCGUGGCAAUGGCUCUCCAGGAUGCAGGUGGUCUCUGUGCCCCACCCUUCGUCACAGCUAACAGUUGGGCCAAUCGGAUUCUCCCUCGCAG